UACGAAGGGGGCGAGCGUUGUUCGGAAUUACUGGGCGUAAAGCGCACGUAGGCUGACUCUUAAGUGAGGGGUGAAAUCCCGAGGCUCAACCUCGGAACUGCCUUUCAUACUGGGUGUCUCGAGUCCGGAAGAGGUUAGUGGAAUUCCCAGUGUAGAGGUGAAAUUCGUAGAUAUUGGGAAGAACACCAGUGGCGAAGGCGACUAACUGGUCCGGUACUGACGCUGAGGUGCGAAAGCGUGGGGAGCAAACAGG
rnacentral:rRNA from 1 species